GUGUGUGUGUGUGUGUGUGUAGCUAUAUAUGUAUGUAUACAAAUUUAAAUGUUGAGGAUGGGAUUUUUCCAUAUAAAGAAAGAAGGCAAAAUAAGUGAAUAUGAUUGGUUCAGAAACAUGAAACACUUGAAUGGAAAUGCAUGGGAGGUGGUGGUGGUGGCCAUGUUGGAGAGGAUGUAAAGAGAGAAAGAAAGAAUAUAGAAUUGGACGGGAGGUGGGGAGAGAGUGUCAUUCAUAUAGUCUGUGGCAAUCUGAGAUAGGCGUGUCGAUGUAAUCUGGCUAACAUAUACUACAACACACCAACAUAUACACACACAUACCUAUACACUACAACAGACACAUACUUUUAAACCAAGAUACAUACCCAUGACAAGGUAACACCCACCAGGUGUCUAGAAACUUCUUCCUGGUAGAUUAUAAAUAUAGCUGUAAGUGCAGCACACUAGCCAAACCAUUGCCACUUUUGCAUGAUAUUUCUGAGAGAGACAAAGUCUUCAGGCUAGAAUAAACACCUCAACACAAAUAAUCCAGAUUCACUAUGGAAGUCCAAAAUACUUUAAGAAAACUUACCCCUCAGAAAAGAGCUUUAAGGAACUCGACACCAAAAGGGGAUAAAGAAGGAGUUGAGAAGAAAAGGUGUAAAUAUGAGAGAGAUGACGGUUCAAGGAGAGAAAUAUCCGAGAAACGAUCUUCAUCUCAGCCAACAACAAAACAAAAAA